UCAGUAGGCUAGCUGGAUCGUACCGCCAUUCCGGCUACGAGAUAGGGCUCCUGAGAGGGGAGGAUCCCCCACACUCCGUAUUGAGACCCGGACCAGACUCCUACCGCAGCCAGCAGUGAAGAUAUGUCCAUUGAGGCCACUCUGAAUCAAGCCAUGCCGCGUGCAGGAUGCCGGUCCCUAUGGAUUGUAAACUGCUUGGUACCGGGAAGAAAUGUAAUUACGAGUAAUUAUUUCGACGGUACCGUAAGAAUAAGGAUCGGGCUAACUCCCGUGCCAGCAGCCGCGGUAAUACGGAGGAUCCGAGCGUUAUCCGGAAAUUAUUGGGUUUAAAGGGUUUCGUAGGCGGUUGAGUAAGUCAGUGGUGAAAUCUUAUAGCUUAACUAUAAAAUUGCCGUUGAUACUGCUUGACUUGAAUAGUAUGGAAGUAAUUAGAAUAUGUAGUGUAGCGGUGAAAUGCUUAGAUAUUACAUGGAAUACCAAUUGCGAAGGCAGAUUACUACGUACUUAUUGACGCUGAUGAACGAAAGCGUGGGUAGCGAACAGGAUUAGAUACCCUGGUAGUCCACGCCGUAAACGAUGGAUACUAGCUGUUCGGUUUUCGGACUGAGUGGCUAAGCGAAAGUGAUAAGUAUCCCACCUGGGGAGUACGUUCGCAAGAAUGAAACUCAAAGGAAUUGACGGGGGCCCGCACAAGCGGUGGAGCAUGUGGUUUAAUUCGAUGAUACGCGAGGAACCUUACCAAGGCUUAAAUGUAGAUUGACAGGUUUAGAGAUAGACUUUUCUUCGGACAAUUUACAAGGUGCUGCAUGGUUGUCGUCAGCUCGUGCCGUGAGGUGUCAGGUUAAGUCCUAUAACGAGCGCAACCCCUAUUGUUAGUUGCCAGCGAGUAGUGUCGGGAACUCUAACAAGACUGCCGGUGCAAACCGUGAGGAAGGUGGGGAUGACGUCAAAUCAUCACGGCCCUUACGUCUUGGGCUACACACGUGCUACAAUGGCCAGUACAGAA
rnacentral:rRNA from 1 species